rnacentral:rRNA from 1 species
UUGAAAGGGAAACGAUUGAAGUCAGUCGUGCUGGCGCGAAAUCAACCCUCUCGUCCAGAGGUCACAUGGCGUGGCGAGCCUCAAAACCGUCACGAAGCGUGAACUCUUGGCGAAAAGGAGCACUUUCGUGUCCGCUGGUUAACAUCAAUUUCGAUCGUCAUAAAAAGGCUGGAGGGAUGUGGCUCCUUCGGGAGUGUUAUAACCUUUGGCGGAAUGUGGUGGUCGGGAUUGAGGUUUGCAACGAAUACCUUUAGGGCUGUUCCACCUGGCUUCUCUUUGGUAUCCUGGUGACGACAGCUUGCUGACGUUGUUAGGAUUCGCCUUUGAACAGGCUAAAGUGUGAGCAAAUUCGUUAAGGAUGUUGACGUA